AAAUUGAAGAGUUUGAUCAUGGCUCAGAUUGAACGCUGGCGGCAGGCCUAACACAUGCAAGUCGAGCGGUAACACAGGG
rnacentral:rRNA from 1 species